rnacentral:rRNA from 1 species
CUACGGGUGGCAGCAGUGGGGAAUAUUGCACAAUGGAGGAAACUCUGAUGCAGCAACGCCGCGUGGAGGAUGACACUUUUCGGAGCGUAAACUCCUUUUAUAUAGGAAGAAGAUGACGGUGCUAUAUGAAUAAGCGCCGGCUAACUCCGUGCCAGCAGCCGCGGUAAUACGGAGGGCGCAAGCGUUACUCGGAAUCACUGGGCGUAAAGAGCGUGUAGGCGGAUUAAAAAGUCAGAAGUGAAAUCCUAUAGCUUAACUAUAGAACUGCUUCUGAAACUCUUAAUCUAGAAUAUGGGAGAGGUAGAUGGAAUUUCUGGUGUAGGGGUAAAAUCCGUAGAGAUCAGAAGGAAUACCGAUUGCGAAGGCGAUCUACUAGAACAUUAUUGACGCUGAGACGCGAAAGCGUGGGGAGCAAACAGGAUUAGAUACCCCGUGUAGUC